CAUGUGGUUAAUGAUGCACAUAUUUUUUCCCCGUCAUAUCGACUGUGGUGAGGAAAACCGAAAACUAAGCCAGUUGUGUCUGAAACCACCUG